UUUAAUUUUCAUACUAGUAACAUUUUAUAUUUGUAUAUAAAUUAUACUAAUAUAAAUUUUAGUUGGGGCAACUGAGGAGUAAAAAAUAAUCUCCUUAUUAUACACCAAAAUGAUAAUUAGAUGAUCCUUUUAUAAAGAUUAAUAAAUAUAAUUAC
rnacentral:rRNA from 1 species